rnacentral:rRNA from 1 species
UACGGGGGGGGCAAGCGUUGUUCGGAAUUACUGGGCGUAAAGGGCGCAUAGGCGGCCUGCUAAGUCGGAUGCGAAAUCCCUCGGCUCAACCGAGGAACUGCAUCCGAUACUGGCGGGCUUGAAUCCGGGAGAGGGAUGUGGAAUUCCAGGUGUAGCGGUGAAAUGCGUAGAUAUCUGGAGGAACACCGGUGGCGAAGGCGGCAUCCUGGACCGGUAUUGACGCUGAGGCGCGAAAGCUAGGGGAGCAAACGGG